GAUGAACGCUAGCUACAGGCUUAACACAUGCAAGUCGCAGGGUAACAUGAGGAAAGCUUGCUUUCCUUGAUGACGACUGGCGCACGGGUGAGUAACGCGUAUCCAACCUUCCCAUAACUACGGGAUAACCCGUUGAAAGACGGCCUAAUACCGUAUGACAUCGUUUGCUGACAUCAAAUAACGAUUAAAGGUUUAGCGGUUAUGGAUGGGGAUGCGUCUGAUUAGCUUGUUGGCGGGGUAACGGCCCACCAAGGCGACGAUCAGUAGGGGUUCUGUGAGGAAGGUCCCCCACAUUGGAACUGAGACACGGUCCAAACUCCUACGGGAGGCAGCAGUGAGGAAUAUUGGUCAAUGGGCGAGAGCCUGAACCAGCCAAGUAGCGUGCAGGAUGACGGCCCUAUGGGUUGUAAACUGCUUUUAUGUGGGGAUAAAGUGCGUGACGUGUCAUGCAUUGCAGGUACCACAUGAAUAAGGACCGGCUAAUUCCGUG
rnacentral:rRNA from 1 species